AACUGGAUCCCAGAAAGUUCGAUCCUUCACUGUACUCAAAAAUGAAAAGAUGUGAUCUAGAUAAUAAAUUGUUAGUAUUCAAGAUUUAUGUGGUUCUAUCCAAUGUCGGUUAGUGUUUGAAUACAGAGAAACACAUUUUCAUCAUGUUUUAUUUAUAAUGGCAUAGCUUCAACAAUUAGUAACUCCUACAGGUUUUCCUAGACACAAGCUGGUUCUGAUGUUUUCUCCAAAAUUAAACUCUGAGCUAAAUAAAAAAUGUUAGCUUCUAAUUAGCUAUCAGCAGACCUGUUACUUUGCAAUCAGUCUGCUUGCUGCCAGGAAGUAAAAGUAAGUGAAAUGUAAACAAACAGAGGUAGUGGAGAAAGCAAGAAGCCCACAUAAUACCUUCAUUCAUUUCUAGUCCCAGAUAUCAUCAUCCCCUCUUUUUAUUACUCCUCAGGAAAUAAAGAAUGUUAAACAUUCACACAUUGUGAUGCAUAUAUUUUUGUUUAAAGUUGUCUAUAGUCAUGGACAUUGGAAUAUUCUUCUGUUAAGUUGUAAAAAUUGCAUUAAUUCAACACAUAAUAAAAUCGUUGUGGUGGCAAAGUGUGCUUAAAUCAUAAAUGAAGGAAGAUAAUUAUUUCAUUAGCAGGAGUGUUUUUGCACCAGCGUUCUGAAGAUGAUCUAAGUUCCUGAUGCAGAAGCUGAAAUGCGUGCAGUUACAGGCAAGAAGUCUACAGCGUCAAUUCACUGGUUUGACAGCUCUCUCUCUCUCACACACACACACACACUCUGUGUGUGCAUGUGUGUGUUUGUGUGUGUGUGCAUACAUGAUAAUGGCCUCUGUCUCGUCUCUGUUACUCCGUCUCCACCAUGCUCCUUGCUCGUUCCCACGGCAACACAUGGCUCUUGGUUACAUAAUCGCACCUUCCAGCGUGUGUUUGUGUGUGUGUGUGUGUGUGUGUGUGUGUGUUUGUCCUUGGGGAAUUAAACAGAAACAGCCUUCACAAACAGUCCUACUUGGCUGCAGGCUCAUGCAGGCUCUGUAUUGAUAAUGUUAACACUUAUUUCAUCAGAGGAAUAAAUAUACAGUAGUGUGUGUGUGUGUGUGUGUGUGUGUGUGUGUGUGUGUGUGUGUGUGUGUGUGUCGCUUAUUUUACCCCUCCUCUCCGCUGUAGUCUGUUUUAUUUCCACUAGAUGGAAACAAUGUGCAGUGAAGGGUGUGUUUAAGGUUGCUCUUCUGAUUUAUUUUAAUCCUGUGAAAUGCUAAACGGAAGAUGCGUCAGCCGUUGUCAGUCCCACAUAGCACGUUUUUCACUCUUAACUCUAAACCAUAUUUAAUCAAGUUUACAUGCUUAAAAUUGUGAUUGGCGGUCUUAACAAGAAUCCUUUUCAAUUGAAAAGUCUAAAAAUUGUAAUAUAUAUAUAUAUAUAUAUAUAUAUAUGUGUGUGUGUGUG
rnacentral:lncRNA from 1 species